ensembl:lncRNA
AGUUUAGCAUUGCUUUAAAGAUUACAGUAUGGUGAAGGGGGGAGGGAUCAAAGACUAGGCCCAGCCUGUUCUCCAGCCUUUCUUAUGAGGGGUUAAUAUCCCUUUGAAGAUUUUUAUUGUGGAUGUGAAACUUGAAUCUCUGAAACAGCAGAUGUGGGAAGGGUUUGGACUAUUGUGUUGUUGUUGGAUGUUGAGUGUCUUUGGAAAACAUGAAGGGAAGAAUUGGGGUGAGAAGAAACAGUGAGUUGGGACAGGUAAAAACAGGUCACAUUUCAUAACUUGGACAUCAACCAGGAAUUCCAGUGUAAACAUAAGCUGGCGAUGUCAGAAAUAAAGACACAAAGAAUGCUAAAGGUGCAAAACAACCAGAACAGUUGGGAGAGUGAGGAAGAAUGAACAAUAAAGGGAUUUACCCAUUAACUGACCUUCACAAGUAUUUGCAUGUGAAGGAAUAAAUAAAUAAAUAAAUAAAUUUCCUAGGAUAAAAACAAAGGCUACAGUGUGACCAGUUGGUUUACGAAAAUAAAGGUGGGAGGUAAUUAAGGAACACUGCUGAGGAGCUCAUGCAUGUAUUCUGUGUUCUCUAGCGAAGCUGAUGGGGGAGGUACCUUCUUUUUUAGGGCAAUGAAGAUGGCACUGUGUAGGGACUGGAGUGUUGCGUUAAUGCAUUUGGCAGGAAACAGAUCAACCGAAAGAUAACAAAACACCAAAAGGUUAGACCAUGGAAAAGGUGGAGGACUUGGAUUGUGACUCCAGAGGCCUUUAGGUAUAAAAUUUUAAAAUGUUCCCAUGAAAGCAGCUAAUCCAUAUUAGAUACAGUAGCCAUAGCACAUAAAUUUAGAGUGGAAACAAACUUAAAGUGGUGUUUUUCAGUAUCCUCUAGAAGGAAAGAUGACUCCUAUGAAUUACAGAUUCAUGUUCAUUGCUUCUAGGUAAACUGUAAAAAUGAUCGUCAUAAGUGUCUGAAACCCUUGGCAGUGGUUAUGAACUGAAAGAGUAAAAUGGGCCUUUCUCUGAAGGAAAACUGUACCUCUUUGAUAUCUUGAUUUUCUUUUUAAUUCACAAAUGGCAGAUAAUUAAGUAGACAAGGCACGAAACAGGAGGUAAAGUGCUAUCAUGUUUCCCCAGGAUAGUAGACUGGAAAAAGAAGUAGCUCUAAAUCUAAGCAUGCCAAAGUGCUAGCUGUUGAAUGAGCCAUGAAGAGAUUGACGGGGAGAUUUGAGGGGGCUCAUGGCUGAGUAAGCUCCCAACCGAAGGGAAGCUCCAUGGUGUCUCCAGGUCCUGCACUACAGUUCAAACCCUCAUUUGUUCCCACUCAUAAUGAAGGCUUCAAUUCCACGUGAGAGUUUCAUUUCCAUGAAAAGAUUUAUUGCACAGAUGAUCAAGCCUGAUUUCACAUAGAAGCAGCAUAUUCCAGUAUAAGUGUCCAACAAGGUUUAUUCUCUGGUAUCAACAAGACUCAAACCUCUCUGUUGCUCCGAUGCAGACAGAUUUACUGUACUGAUCUCUGUUCCAGACCCAUAGUUACCUGUUGGUGCCAGGAGUUGGUGUUUCAUUUGCUGGAAAGCUUCCAGAGAGCUCUGCGCUCCUGUCAGACCCAUGGUUCCCUGGCUGGAGAGAGUGGAAUGACACACAGAACCUCAACAGUGCAAGAAAUGGGCACUGAGUGAUGUCUGGAAGCAGAUGAGGUGGGCAGUGUGGGCGCAGUAGCCAUUUACAAACAUCUGUACCAAACAGACUCAUGGUGACGGUUUGAACCGUGUUCAUUCCAGAGAAGUUAACUCAUAAGAAGAAUCAUAUGUGGAUUAUAACAGAGAAAAGAAAGGUA